rnacentral:rRNA from 1 species
UACGAAGGGGGCUAGCGUUGUCCGGAAUUAUUGGGCGUAAAGAGCUCGUAGGCGGUUCGUCGCGUCGGCUGUGAAAUCCCGAGGCUCAACCUCGGGUCUGCAGUCGAUACGGGCGGACUGGAGUUCGGCAGGGGAGACUGGAAUUCCUGGUGUAGCGGUGAAAUGCGCAGAUAUCAGGAGGAACACCGGUGGCGAAGGCGGGUCUCUGGGCCGAUACUGACGCUGAGGAGCGAAAGCGUGGGGAGCGAACGAG